GACGAACGCUGGCGGCGUGCUUAACACAUGCAAGUCGAACGGAAAGGCCCUGCUUUUGUGGGGUGCUCGAGUGGCGAACGGGUGAGUAACACGUGAGUAACCUGCCCUUGACUUUGGGAUAACUUCAGGAAACUGGGGCUAAUACCGGAUAGGAGCUCCUGCUGCAUGGUGGGGGUUGGAAAGUUUCGGCGGUUGGGGAUGGACUCGCGGCUUAUCAGCUUGUUGGUGGGGUAGUGGCUUACCAAGGCGUUGACGGGUAGCCGGCCUGAGAGGGUGACCGGCCAUAUUGGGACUGAGAUACGGCCCGGACUCCUACUGGAGGCAGCAGUGAGGAAUAUUGCACAAUGGGCGGAAGCCUGAUGCAGCAACGCCGCGUGCGGGAUCACGGCCUUCGGGUUGUAAACCGCUUUCGCCUGUGACGAAGCGUGAGUGACGGUAAUGGGUAAAGAAGCACCGGCUAACUACGUG
rnacentral:rRNA from 1 species